AGUCGANCGGGAAUCUUCGGAUUCUAGUGGCGGACGGGUGAGUAACGCGUAAGAAUCUAACUUCAGGACGGGGACAACAGUUGGAAACGACUGCUAAUACCCGAUGUGCCGCAAGGUGAAACCUAAUUGGCCUGGAGAAGAGCUUGCGUCUGAUUAGCUAGUUGGUGGGGUAAGAGCCUACCAAGGCGACGAUCAGUAGCUGGUCUGAGAGGAUGAGCAGCCACACUGGGACUGAGACACGGCCCAGACUCCUACGGGAGGCAGCAGUGGGGAAUUUUCCGCAAUGGGCGAAAGCCUGACGGAGCAACGCCGCGUGAGGGAGGAAGGUCUUUGGAUUGUAAACCUCUUUUCUCAAGGAAGAAGUUCUGACGGUACUUGAGGAAUCAGCCUCGGCUAACUCCGUGCCAGCAGCCGCGGUAAUACGGGGGAGGCAAGCGUUAUCCGGAAUUAUUGGGCGUAAAGCGUCCGCAGGUGGUCAGCCAAGUCUGCCGUCAAAUCAGGUUGCUUAACGACCUAAAGGCGGUGGAAACUGGCAGACUAGAGAGCAGUAGGGGUAGCAGGAAUUCCCAGUGUAGCGGUGAAAUGCGUAGAGAUUGGGAAGAACAUCGGUGGCGAAAGCGUGCUACUGGGCUGUAUCUGACACUCAGGGACGAAAGCUAGGGGAGCGAAAGGGAUUAGAUACCCCUGUAGUCCUAGCCGUAAACGAUGGAUACUAGGCGUGGCUUGUAUCGACCCGAGCCGUGCCGAAGCUAACGCGUUAAGUAUCCCGCCUGGGGAGUACGCACGCAAGUGUGAAACUCAAAGGAAUUGACGGGGGCCCGCACAAGCGGUGGANUAUGUGGUUUAAUUCGAUGCAACGCGAAGAACCUUACCAAGACUUGACAUGUCGCGAACCCNNGNGAAAGCUNNGGUGCCUUCGGGAGCGCGAACAC
rnacentral:rRNA from 1 species